UGCGUAGGCGGCUUUUUAAGUCGGAUGUGAAAUCCCCGAGCUUAACUUGGGAAUUGCAUUCGAUACUGGGAAGCUAGAGUAUGGGAGAGGAUGGUAGAAUUCCAGGUGUAGCGGUGAAAUGCGUAGAGAUCUGGAGGAAUACCGAUGGCGAAGGCAGCCAUCUGGCCUAAUACUGACGCUGAGGUACGAAAGCAUGGGGAGCAAACAG
rnacentral:rRNA from 1 species